rnacentral:RNase_P_RNA from 1 species
AGAGUAAAUCAUAAGCCGGAUUUUGUUCUUUUAGAGCUAAGUCAUUUAAAAGGGUAGUUAUUAAUCUUAAGUAAAUAAAAAACUUUCUGCAGUAUUUAUAAUAAGCAUAAAAACAAUAAAAUAAAAAAGUAUAAUACUAUGCUUUGCUCCAUUUAGGGGUUUACCAAGCAAAUAUCUUAAAAAUAUUUCUGGUGUGCUUUUACCACACCUUUGCACCCUUACUAUAAUAAAUAUUAGCGGUUUAUUUCUGUGGCACUUUCCUCAUAGUCACCUAUACUAAGUUUUACUAAGCUAUUAUAUUUUAUUUAGAGUCCGGACUUUCCUCAAAUUUUCUUGUCAAAUUUGCAACUACCUAUGCAUACUC